rnacentral:rRNA from 1 species
UACGUAGGGUGCGAGCGUUAAUCGGAAUUACUGGGCGUAAAGCGUGCGCAGGCGGUUGUGCAAGACAGAUGUGAAAUCCCCGGGCUCAACCCGGGAACUGCUUCUGAUACUGGCGUGCUUGAGGCCAGUAGGGGUCACUAGAACUGACGGUGGAGCGGUGAAAUGCGUAGAUAUCGUCAGGAAGACCAGUGGCGAAGGCGGGUCUCUGGACAGUUCCUGACGCUGAGGCACGAAGGUCAGGGGAGCAAACGGG